rnacentral:rRNA from 1 species
CAGCCGUAAACUAUGCUCGCUAGGUGUCAGGCAUGGCGCGACCGUGUCUGGUGCCGCAGGGAAGCCGUGAAGCGAGCCACCUGGGAAGUACGGCCGCAAGGCUGAACUUAAGGAUUGGCGGGGGAGCACAACAACGGGUGGAGCCUGCGGUUUAAUUGGACUCAACGCCGGACAACUCACCGGGAACGACAGCAAUAUGUAGGCCAGGCUGAAGACCUUGCCUGAAUCGCUGAGAGGUGGUGCAUGGCGUAGACGUCU